UGUACCCUCCCUCUCUCCCACGCUCACUCGCACUUUGGCUGUGAGCUGCGGAAGCCAGAUAAGCCAAUAUCCCCCAUUCUCGUGGUUUCCUUGCGUCCCUCCAUGCUUCCCUGGAGGGAGGGACUAAACACAGGGAAACGACGCAAGUGAGGGAAGCAAGGAUUUAAUUUAACCGACCUGAGACGGGGCCCAGUUUGGCUCAUUUGACCAAGCAAAUGCGAGAGACGGCUGAGUUGACCGCCGGUGGGAAAAAUAACACUGAGGCGAAGUUGCAGAACACUGAAAAAUAAGUAUUGGAGCUGCGUAGCCUGUCUGGAGGCAAAUCUCAGGUCGGUGGCCUUUUCUACAGCUCUCGUGGAAUCUGGCUCGGAAACCAUUCUAAUAGGCUACACCACUUAAGUAUAAGAGGGUCAUCUCCAUAAGAGGGUCAUCUCCAUAAGAGGGUCAUCUCCAACACUGGAAAUAACUACAAUCCUACAACAGGCAUAUUUUCAGCAACCGUCAAAGGAACCUACUUCUUUCGUUUCACGAUGUACAACAAUGUUUCUCCUACUCCAAACUCUGUUAGCCUAAUGAAGAAUGAUGUGCGGCUUACGUCAGUAUGGCACACCUCAGGGUCUGAUGCGAAUGACUGGUAGCAACGCUGUGGUUAUCCCCCUCGAGGUGGGAGAUCAUGUGUAUGUGGAUCUCCAGGCAAACAGGAUGGUCUAUGUCUGAUGAUGCCAUGGGCUACAACACCUUCUCUGGUUUUCUGCUCUUCACUGAAUAAUCUGCAUGUGUGUUUAUACUUUUAAAAGGAAUAUAAUCUCACUUUAUUAAUGCUGGUAGCUGGUAGCAAAAGCCUAACUACUGAUUUGCUGUGCUGAGAAAAUCAAUAAACAUAGUUGUAAUAAUGAUAAAUAUCUGGCUUUCUCUGCGCCAUCUUUAUUUUCAUUUGUGUGUUUAGACUUUUUCAUGUGUACAGCUCCAGCACAUGUGAAAUUCAAUUGUGAAGUUUUGUAUUGAAUGUAUAACUGCAGUAGAACAAUUAAAUUAAAAAAGAUGCUAAUGAGAUUCAUAGGAGUUUAUUGUUUUGAAUAGAUAACAUGACUUAGUUUUGUAUAUCACCUGGUAUAAUUCAAGUGUGUUCAAAUGAGCUCUAGAAAUAAAAUGUACUUUCUUAUUUUCUUA